rnacentral:rRNA from 1 species
AGGACGAACGCUGGCGGCGUGCUUAACACAUGCAAGUCGAGCGGAAAGGCCCUUCGGGGUACUCGAGCGGCGAACGGGUGAGUAACACGUGAGCAAUCUGCCCCUAGCUCUGGGAUAGCUCCGGGAAACCGGAAUUAAUACCUGAUACGACCACGGCUGACAUCGGCCAUGGUGGAAAGCUUUUGCGGCUAGGGAUGAGCUCGCGGCCUAUCAGCUUGUUGGUGGGGUAACGGCCUACCAAGGCGACGACGGGUAGCCGGCCUGAGAGGGCGACCGGCCACACUGGGACUGAGACACGGCCCAGACUCCUACGGGAGGCAGCAGUGGGGAAUAUUGCGCAAUGGGCGAAAGCCUGACGCAGCGACGCCGCGUGCGGGAUGAAGGCCUUCGGGUUGUAAACCGCUUUCAGCAGGGACGAAGCGAAAGUGACGGUACCUGCAGAAGAAGCGCCGGCUAACUACGCGCCAGCAGCCGCGGUAA